CACCCGAGUCCGGACACCGGCCUCCCCGCGGCAGCGACAGGGCCGCAGUUCCGCAGCUGCCGGGCAGGGGGCGCCGCGCCACAACGUACGGGCAGCCGGGCACAGCGACGGCAGCCAGCCCGGGCUCGGCAGAGCGAAGCGGAGCCGGUAGCCCGCGGCGCCGAGCCCGGCUCCGGCUGCAGGCGGCUGGAUCCGGCAACCCGCGUGCCGCUCUCUCGAUGAAGGUGGUGGUGGAGCGGGCGGUGCCCUCAGCCCCAGAAGGGCGUAUUCAAAUUCCUAAAGAAAGCUUUGAAAGAGAUCCAAUGAGGCAAUCACAUGCAUGUGCAACUAUUUUUUUACCAGGCAAGAAUAUAUGGAAUGUGGAUGGAGUUUCAGCAUAGCUCUGCAAAUGUGUGCAUUGCUGCAGCUGUGAGGGAAAAUGUUUACCUGAUGGUCAGCCUUGGAGUCAGCUUCAGCCUGGGAAAGGUGAUCUCAGGAGCUGCAUGCUGAACAUGAGAAGCACUUACUCUGGGUUUGAUAUCAAACGUCUUUACAGAGGAUUGUGGCCAAUAAAUCCACUUUCUUAUCACAUAGCUAUGAGUCAGACACUGUUAUGAGCAUGGAGUGUCAUGCACUGGCCUGCCACGUGGAUCUUUGUCCUAGAGAGGCAUGAUAGCAGGGAUUUCAAUGAGUUAUCACACAUUUUCAAGUGGAGCUUGCUAUUACAUCUUCUUAUGCUUCCUGAAAAUUUUAUUUUUCCACACUUAUUUGCAGUGCAGACUUGAACAGAAAAUACCAUGACUAAAUAGGAAAGCCAAUAAGUUGUUAUUGUAGUCCUAAAAAAAAUAUAUUUACAGAAAUCAUAGAUGGUUUGAUGUCUCUUCAAAGUAUAAUGACGUUCUAAUCUGAAGCUCAAAUAAAUCAUUAAGAUGUCACUGGUUUUAAAGAAGGCCUUAACUAUCUAGUAUCUUGCUAACAGGUUUAGUUUUCCCCUGAAAUUUGGAAAUAGUUGCAUAUUUUCUAUUGGAUGGGUUAGGGUCAUUGCAUUAGCAUUUAAAUCCACAUUUUUAUUGAAUAUAUGGUAUUUGAUUUGC